rnacentral:rRNA from 1 species
GACGAACGCUGGCGGCGUGCCUAAUACAUGCAAGUAGAACGCUGAAGAGAGGAGCUUGCUCUUCUUGGAUGAGUUGCGAACGGGUGAGUAACGCGUAGGUAACCUGCCUGGUAGCGGGGGAUAACUAUUGGAAACGAUAGCUAAUACCGCAUAAAAUUGAUUAUUGCAUGAUAAUUAAUUGAAAGAUGCAACUGCAUCACUACCAGAUGGACCUGCGUUGUAUUAGCUAGUUGGUGAGGUAACGGCUCACCAAGGCGACGAUACAUGGCCGACCUGAGAGGGUGAUCGGCCACACUGGGACUGAGACACGGCCCAGACUCCUACGGGAGGCAGCAGUAGGGAAUCUUCGGCAAGGGGGGGAACCCUGACCGAGCAACGCCGCGUGAGUGAAGAAGGUUUUCGGAUCGUAAAGCUCUGUUGUAAGAGAAGAACGGGUGUGAGAGUGGAAAGUUCACACUGUGACGGUAUCUUACCAGAAAGGGACGGCUAACUACGUG